GACUUCCUAACAACCUUCCUUUUUCGGCUGCGGUCCUCGACGAGUACAGAAGCUCACGUAUUAGUUCACGUGGAAAAUUUACACUAUCGUUUCUUUUACCUUUCCGGAUCUCGGACCUACCGUUUCGUAAAUUACCACAUAGUGACUUAUUUAGAAAUACCGCAUCUUUCUUUUUCGUCGUCCCUCACAGAGGGACCCUGGCUGAGGCAGAAAUAGUCCAUUGCGCAACCUGUACCCAUCGGGAUAUCUAGAAUUUAACCCUGUUCUACAAGUGGCUGAUUCGACACCAGCCUACCAAAGUUCCUACAAGAGGAACGCCUGGACCAAUUGACCUCGCCUAUCGAACGAUAAGUAUCCCUUAUCUCAUAAUUCGUAUACCGCUUCGAUUUUGGCAUUACACCCGUCGGGAUUUAUUGUACAAAUUUAUUUCCCUAUU